rnacentral:misc_RNA from 1 species
AGGAGCCGUGUUCGUGAAUAGCGCAAGCACGGUUCCGUGAGGUUCCCUUCUACUCGGCUAGCGUCAUAAAAAGACCGCCAAUUGGCGGCCUUUUGAACGUGCGAUUCUUUACAUAAUCAUAC